GAUUAACGCUGGCGGCGUGCAUAACACAUGCAAGUCGAACGAUGAAACUUAAAUGAAUUCUUCGGAAUGAUUUUAAUUGGAUUAGUGGCGAACGGGUGAGUAACGCGUGAGUAACCUGCCUUACACAAGGGGAUAGCCUCUGGAAACGGAGAAUAAUACCCUAUGAAACUAUCUUAUCGCAUGAAAAGAUAGUCAAAGUGUUUUAGCGGUGUAAGAUGGACUUGCGUCUGAUUAGCUAGUUGGUGAGAUAACAGCCCACCAAGGCAACGAUCAGUAGCCGGCUUGAGAGAGUGUACGGCCACAUUGGGACUGAGACACGGCCCAGACUCCUACGGGAGGCAGCAGUGGGGAAUUUUGCACAAUGGGGGCAACCCUGAUGCAGCGACGCCGCGUGAUUUAGAAGGCCUUCGGGUUGUAAAAAUCUUUUGUAUAGGAAGAAAAUGACAGUACUAUACGAAUAAGGUCCGGCUAAUUACGUG
rnacentral:rRNA from 1 species